UUUGUAAAAUUACACGCGUUUAUAAUGUUAUCAAUGGCGGCUGCAGAUAAUGAGGAUUCUAUGGCGGAUGGAGCCCAUUACUAUGGAUUUAAGGGUGCAGUUACAAUGAAGACGACGGACGACCAUCGACUGUAAUCACGUUUGGUUUAUAGGAAAAGAUUAUUAACUUCACAGCCAGGGGAAAGUCUAAAUCCAUAAGGACUAAAAUUCAACCAACCAACCCACUGAAAGGACUGAGGACAUACAAAGACUAAAUUCACCACAGAUUCGCCGGUCUGCUUCUGAAAUCCAUGGCGAGAGAUACCCUCUGUAUAUCC